AAAAAGACAAACCAUGGGUUUCCAUAUCCAACGUUUGACUGUCCGUUUUAUAUGAAAUUUUUUAUAAUUAUUAUUUUCAUUGUUGUUAUAUGAUAAAACAUGAUUAAUACUUUAUACAUGACUUAUCUUUUUAAUUUUUUUCAUAUUUUUUUUAAAUAAGACAGACGGUCAAACAUUGGACACGGAAAUCCAGGGUUUAUCUUUUU
rnacentral:pre_miRNA from 1 species